AACGAACGCUGGCGGCAUGCCUAACACAUGCAAGUCGAACGAAGGCUUCGGCCUUAGUGGCGCACGGGUGCGUAACGCGUGGGAAUCUGCCCUUGGGUCUGGGAUAACAGCGGGAAACUGCUGCUAAUACCGGAUGAUGACGUAAGUCCAAAGAUUUAUCGCCCUGGGAUGAGCCCGCGUCGGAUUAGCCAGUUGGUGGGGUAAAUGCCUACCAAGGCGACGAUGCGUAGCUGGUCUGAGGGGAUGAUCAGCCACACUGGGACUGCGACACGGCCCAGACUCCUACGGGAGGAAGCAGUGGGGGAUAUUGGACAAUGGGCGCAAGCCUGAUGCAGCAAUGCCGCGUGAGUGAUGAAGGCCUUAGGGUUGUAAAGCUCUUUUACACGGGAUGAUAAUGACAGUACCGGGAGAAUAAGCCCCGGCUAACUCCGUGCCAGCAGCCGCAGUAAAAC
rnacentral:rRNA from 1 species